UGAUAUAUUUUUUUCUGGGGCUGGGCGAAAUAUUGAUUUCUCAUGUUUUAUUUUCUAAUUGGAUUGAAAAAAAAUCUCUGGGGUCUGAUUAUGACACGAUAUUGGGGAGUUAAAAAAAAAUCAAUACAUUUUGGUCAAUAUAUAUAUUUUUAUAUAAUUUGUAAUUGUCAGUGAUUCCCAAGAUGUCGGUAUCAAACACUUAUGGAAGACAAAUGUAAUUGAGGCUUGAUAUUUUACAGUUUAGCCUUAAACUGUAUUAAUAAUAUCUAUGAACAAAUAGAAAACUAAAACAACCAAAUAUUUAGAACCCGAAUUAAGAAAAUAACCUUUUUCUUUGACGUAAAAUCUGUUCAAAAUCUAAGCUUUCAUAUUUUUGUUUUCAAAUUUUAACCCAAAUAAAACAUAAUUUUUGGUUCUUUAGAAAGACCCUUUAAUUAAAUUUUAAAUUCAAAAAAAUCUUUUGAAAUUUGAAAAACAUACUUUAGGGUUGUCUUUCUGGUCCCGCCCCCCUCAAUCAAGUCAUGAAUGAAAGAAGGUUAGGCCCGCCUCCUGUCUGUCAAUCAAACUUGUUCAUUUUUUAACCUGCUGUAUUUGUAAGAAAAACGUGCUUGUAGGAACUUCCUGGUCUUUUCGCCAAAAGGAACUUCCUGGUCUGUGUCGGCGACUCCGAGGAACUUCCUGGUCUGUGUGGCGGCGCUCAACUUCCUGGUCUGUGUGACGACGACGAUAUCACAGAGGAACUUCCUGGUCUGUGUGACGACGACGACAUCACAGAGGAACUUCCUGGUCUGUGUGACGACGAUGACAUCACAGAGGAACUUCCUGGUCUGUGUGACGACGACGACGACAUCACAGAGGAACUUCCUGGUCUGUGUGAACGUGUCCUGAAUAAAGGUUUUGGUAAAAGUUUCUGUGUUUUUUUCCAAAAUUGCAUUGUUUUAAUUCACUUUUUUCCUUUUUUUUUUUAAAGUGGAAUAAUGAAUGAACGAAUCUUCUGGUCGCCCCC
rnacentral:lncRNA from 1 species